rnacentral:lncRNA from 1 species
CUCCACCUCUCAACCAGGACUGCCUUAGAUUCUCAAUUUCUUCUUCUAGCUCUUCCCUUUUCUGCAGCGCGUCCUGGAGCGCCCGACGAAGUCGCUGGCUCUCAGCCUCCACCUCUCAACGCCUCUUCCUCAAGACCUCGGAUUCCGCCUCCGCGUCCGCGACGGCCCGCUGCUCGUAUGCCAGUUGAAUCUUCAGUUGUUGCAGCUCGGCUGU